AAGCCACUGAUCUAUGUCAGGCUGGAAGUUAGGAAAGCCCUGCCUCGGGGAGAGGGUGGAAGGAGAUGGACACAGCAAUUUCCACCAGGGUGCUGUCUCUCUCUUCUGGAAAGAGUCCUGUCUGUGCAAAAUGGUGGAGGUCAGUGUGGUUAAGAUAGAUAAAGUGGAGGCUUUGUCGGAUAUGAGGCUCACUAGUUUCAGCAUCUGCACAGUGGGACCAAUGACGCCUUCCUCCACUGCGUGUGCACUUGGCGGUGCUGCAGCCAUUCUUAUAGGAGCUCCUCUGUCUACAGUCGUCAACUCUUUCUUGGUCUACACACCCAUCAAUAACUCCCCUGCCCAGCAGUGUCCAGGUAGCUCCUGCUAGUGUUUUUUUCUUCUUCCCUCUACACUUCGCUUGUUCCGCCUCGUCUAACUGGUCCCCAGAUGCCCAGACAUAUCUGCUAACCUCACCGCUCUCUGCCUGCAGCUGCUUUCACACAGCCAGUCCCCAGAAAGCAGCCCCGUCUCUCCCUGGUUGGCUCUAAUAGCACCAACUCAGGCCAAGCAAAGAAGUAAAUUGGAGCUGACAUGAUCCACUUAAGAGUUUUAGGUAUUUGUUUCUGGACUCUCCCCGAGCCUUUGCUGGUUAGGAUCAAAUGAAAUAUAUUGUGGGGGUUUCUUGGUUUUUGGUUUUUGGUUUCUGUUUGUCUUAUCUACAGCCUUUCUUCAAAUGACCUUUUAAAGCUUGAGCCACAGCCACUCAUUAAUCUUCUCAAUAUCUCCGUGGUUUUGAAGGUGGGGCAUGGUGACUACUAAGAAGCCCAUUUUGCAGAAAAGAGUCCUAAAGCAGGAAGAGGUCUAGUGACUCGCCCAGAGUCACGCUGUGACUCUGUCCUCUGCAAAGGAUCAAUACAAGUAUUGCCACCCAAUAAGUGUUGCUUUCCGUGCAUCCUCAGGGGACAUUUUCAUUUCAAGACGAGGUUUGACUUCUGGGUGUCACAUCACUGCUUAUAAUCCCCUGUUUCUCGAGGUCUCUGAUUUUCAAACUGUUGCUUCAGAAAACGCAGGAGUCCACAAUGGGGCUUCAGGGUUUGGGACAUGUAAUACAAUGUUUUCUGCUAAACAGUGAAUAUUUAAACUUUCAGGGAACGCUGACUUUUACUGCAUCUAUAAAUUAAAAUUGUGUGUGAGAAUUCAUUUUUGGAGUUAUCUCCUGGCACAGCAGGGCAAGGGUCUGGCAUUGUCACCACAGAGGCGUGAGUCCACUGCUGUGGCACAGGUUUGAUCCCUGGCCUGGGAACUUCCACAUGCCACCGGCAGGACCAACCAACCAACAAACAAAAACAAACAAGAAAAUUCAUUUUUUUUUUAAAAAAGAUAACCUUUUGGGUUUGGGGGGGGGCUACACCCACAGCAUGUGCAAGUUCAUGGGGCCAGGGAUUGAACCUGUGCCACAGCAGUAACCUGAGCCACAGCAGUGAGCUGAGCCACGGCAAUGACAAGGCCAGAUCUUUAACCACUAGGCCACCAGGAAACUCCAAAAUCUGUAUUUUUAAAAGUUUGAAAACCUCUGUUUCAGAACAUGCUAUUGCUCAGAGUAGGCUAGGGUCCAAUACUUAUAAAUCAGCUUUUCAAUAAUAUUAUAUGCAUAGGAAUCAAAAGAACUUAAAGAUCCAAGAUAAUUGUGUAACAGCAACAACAGCAAAAGUUUCUCAUCAAGAACUGUGAAACCGACUACCCUCUGAUAUACUUUGAGAGUGAAGGCUUUUUUUUUUUUUUUUUUGGCCAUUUACCCUUGGUUUGUAUUGACCAAUGGGCAUGGCAAGUUUCAGUCCAUAGCACUUACUAAUAUUUUGUGUAAAAGUCUAUCACUUUAUGGUUUCAUAUCAUACCUCAUAAAAUAAUGCUAUUUCCAACUACUAGUCUCACCUUGGCUCCAACUGAAGGUGUUUGAAUGGUUUCCUAAAAUCUCUACAUUGCAGACAUGCUUCUGCUGAUAUUUGCAAGCGGUUUUUCACCAGUUCCCAGAUUCUGAGACUCCCUUUCACUCUGUUAAGAUACUCUGCUCUUAGCUCAUGGCAAUAAAAGCAUCCUCAGGGAAUUUCCUGAACAAUUAGACAAAGUCUGCAUUUUCUAAUCUUUGUAGCAACCUCCUCAUCAGACACUCUUCCAACAUUCCUUCUCUGGAGUGACCUAGCUCCUCUAGCUAAUACACUCCUACCCAGCCUUCAAGCGCCAGCUCAAGUGUCUCCUGCCGCCACAGACUUCUGCAUUGGCUGUAUUUGGUUCGCACUGUCGUAUUGACUCAUGGCUUUUCUCCCAUGUGCUCUGUGGCUAGAGAAGCUAAACUGUAUUGACUUCAUCAGUGGAUUCCCUUGCCGUCUUCUUGGGUUCAGCCAACAGGAGCACUGGCAGAAGUUGAGAGGAAAGGAGAGGCUCGAGGGUUUUUGUCUCCCUAGCUCACUCCCUGAGAGCUAGCUGAGUAGCUAGCAACCCUAAACUGCACGGGUAAACUGCAUCCCUGAACUGAAGACCACAGCAUCUGUAAGCAGUUUUGUUUUCUGUACCGGCGUCCAGAAAUUUCUGUCUCCACGAAACCUGGGAGUAGAAUGACCUCCAGUAUAUCCCACGAUCUUGUUUCUUUGCAUUUGCUCACCUUUUGGUAAAUGGUCACAUUAAAAGCCUCUUCUAAAACCAUCCAAUUUGAGGGUUCCUGUGUUUCUUGUUAGAAUUCUAAUUCUUUGACCCUGUUCUCUCAGAGUGGGUCUAUGUUUCCAUUGCAAUUCCACAACAACUCACGGAUGGGUGCCACUUAUACUUUUUCUUAUAUUGUGAUCUCUUUUUAAGUCUAUUUUCCUUCCCAGAAUUUGAAGAUACCCUUGAAUCCUUGCAAUGUUUGGGAUAUUGUAAGGACUAAGUUAAAGUCUGUGAAGACAUUUUCAGCCACUGCUUAUUUUAUCAGCCCACCAACAUGCCAGCAAAGCUUUGAAGGAACAGAACCUCUUAACACAACUACAUUUAAAGGCAUAUUGUCAUUUUCAUUCUGAGGCUCAGAGAAAAGAAUGAAUACAGAGGCUUACUGGUGUCUUUAUCCCUAUUCUUCAAUGUGAAUUCUUCCAGGACAGAAUUUUUCCCCCAGUGUUUAGCAUAGAGUAAGUGCCCUGGGGCCUGACAUAGAGUAAGCACUCAAUGUUUGUUGAAUAAAUUAAUGGGUCUCUAUUUUCUUUCUGUGUGAAAUCCAAAUAGUC
rnacentral:lncRNA from 1 species